AUGCUGGAUUUAAUGUGUCUGACACACACAUUAUUUUGUGAUGUUUUAUCAGGUGAUGUGAUGAGUAUCCACUCAUCUAAUCAACUAGAAGGAAUAUUCACAGCCAGGUCAAAACUGUCGAAGCUUUGUGAUUCUGUAUUUUACAGCGACAUGUUAUGGCUUCCAUUUGAUGAUCACUCCGAUGCUGAGGCUCUAACUAUUGAGCGCACAAAUGCAUUCCAUGUUUCCCUUUGUAGGAGCAAUCCUUUUGCGUGCCCUAUUGGUUGA
rnacentral:rRNA from 1 species